rnacentral:lncRNA from 1 species
UAUUAAGAUUUUAAAUCCAUGGGUUUAAACUAACUUUCUCUUACUACAAAUUUCAGUAACUUUAUCACUUUGAGCUGAGGAUCUUUGGGAUUUUUUGUCUUCCUAAGGACUUACUAAAGGAAGGAUUCUCUUACUUGAGUAAUAUAUGCUAUGGGUUUGAAGUGUUAUGCUUAUUGGUAUUGAGAUGAAGAAAAGGUAGUUUACUUGACUAGUUUCGAAUUUAUGGAUUUGAGAGAAAAUUAGAGAAUUUAUGGAUAGAUUUAUUUAUAAUAAGUUGUAAGAAUUUGAGGAUUGUAGAUUGAGCUAAAGCUUGGCUAAUUGAGGGCUAGAAGAAAGACGUCUCUUCUCAAAUUGAGUAGAUACACCGUUUUAAAUAUUUUAUAUGUAAAGUUAAGCAUAUUUUAUUGAAUGGUUUGAGCUUUAAUACUAAAAGAUACCACAAAACUUUUGAGCUUUAGAGUUUAAUGAAAAUUUGGAGACAUAAAUAGCAUUUUUCAGAACUGGAAAAAACAUGGAUUCAAGAUUUGAAAGGUGAAAAAUAUCACCUUUGUUGAUAAAACUAAAAAGUCCAAGCUUCAAUCUUCCAAAAUGAUGAUCUUUGGUAAAAAUGGUCUAAGAGUGGUUAUAAGCUUAGAGAAAAUUGAGGAAAAGUAGUUGGGAAUGAAAAACGCUUGGGAAAUGUGUCAUAUUUUUAGUAUAGUGUAUGAGAAUACUUUUCUAUCAUUGUUAUUUUUCCAAAAACGACAAAAUGUAUCGAUACUUUUAGUCCUAGGAAAAAUUGUUUCCAUACUUUUGAAGAUGCAUCGAUACUUAUUCAUCAGGAUUCCUUUUAAAAGCUUUAUA